AUGGAGAAUGAAUCAAUUGAGGAUGCUGAAUGUAAAUCGAGUCUGAGUGUGAAAAUAAAUUGCAUUGUAUUUUUCUGCUUUGACUCAAAUUGCAGGGCUGCCACGAUUUGGAUUCAUGUUUGGUGCAGGCCUGGAACUGUUUUGAUAGUUUGUGAAGGUGUAAUAUCGUGGUUUUGGAGGAAAGCAAGUGAAGUCUUAUGA